UACCAGCACCCCGAGUGGUCGGGACGAUUAUUGGGCCUAAAGCAUCCGUAGCCGGUCCUGCAAGUCUUCCGUUAAAUCCAGCUGCUCAACAGAUGGGCUGCGGGAGAUACUACAGGGCUAGGAGGCGGGAGAGGCAAGCGGUACUUUAUGGGUAGGGGUAAAAUCCGCUGAUCCAUAGAAGACCACCAGUGGCGAAGGCGGCUUGCCAGAACGCGCUCGACGGUGAGGGAUGAAAGCUGGGGGAGCAAACGGG
rnacentral:rRNA from 1 species